GUCAGGUUGGCCGAGCGGUCGAUGGCGCCAGACUUAAGAGAUUGACGAGUCUUCUGGUCCACAUUUGUGGGCGUGGGUUCGAAUCCCACACCUGACA
rnacentral:tRNA from 1 species